UACGAAGGGUGCAAGCGUUAAUCGGAAUUACUGGGCGUAAAGCGCGCGUAGGUGGUUCGUUAAGUUGGAUGUGAAAGCCCCGGGCUCAACCUGGGAAUUGCAUCCAAAACUGUCUGACUAGAGUACGGUAGAGGGUAGUGGAAUUUCCUGUGUAGCGGUGAAAUGCGUAGAUAUAGGAAGGAACACCAGUGGCGAAGGCGACCACCUGGGCUAAUACUGACACUGAGGUGCGAAAGCGUGGGGAGCAAACAGG
rnacentral:rRNA from 1 species